AUUGAACGCUGGCGGCAGGCCUAACACAUGCAAGUCGAACGAGUGGCGGACGGGUGAGUAAUGUCUGGGAAACUGCCUGAUGGAGGGGGAUAACUACUGGAAACGGUAGCUAAUACCGCAUACCAUCGGAUGUGCCCAGAUGGGCUUAGGUAGUGGGUGGGGUAACGGCUCACCUAGGCGACGAUCCCUAGCUGGUCUGAGAGGAUGACCAGCCACACUGGAACUGAGACACGGCCCAGACUCCUACGGGAGGCAGCAGUGGGGAAUAUUGCGCAAUGGGGGCAAGCCUGAUGCAGCCAUGCCGCGUGUAUGAAGAAGGCCUUCGGGUUGUAAAGUACUUUCGGUAGGGAGGCGUUACCCGCAGAAGAAGCACCGGCUAACUCCGUGCCAGCAGCCGCGGUAAUUC
rnacentral:rRNA from 1 species